rnacentral:rRNA from 1 species
GACGUAGGGUGCGAGCGUUGUCCGGAUUUAUUGGGCGUAAAGAGCUCGUAGGCGGCUCGUCGCGUCAGCUGUGAAAACCGGCAGCUUAACUGUGGGCUUGCAGCUGAUACGGGCGGGCUAGAGUUCGGUAGGGGAGACUGGAAUUCCUGGUGUAGCGGUGAAAUGCGCAGAUAUCAGGAAGAACACCCCGUGGCGAAGGCGGUUCUCUGGGACGGUACUGACGCUGAGACGCGAAAGCGUGGGGAGCGAACAGG